rnacentral:rRNA from 1 species
UACGAAGGGGGCUAGCGUUGCUCGGAAUCACUGGGCGUAAAGCGCACGUAGGCGGAUUGCUAAGUCAGGGGUGAAAUCCUGGAGCUCAACUCCAGAACUGCCUUUGAUACUGGCGACCUUGAGUCCGGGAGAGGUGAGUGGAACUGCGAGUGUAGAGGUGAAAUUCGUAGAUAUUCGCAAGAACACCAGUGGCGAAGGCGGCUCACUGGUCCGGUACUGACGCUGAUGUGCGAAAGCGUGGGGAGCAAACAGG